rnacentral:rRNA from 1 species
UACGUAGGUCACAAGCGUUACCCGGUUUUAUUGGGCGUAAAGAGUCUGUAGGUGGUUUUUAAGUCUUGUUUCAAAGACCUCGGCUCAACCGAGGACAGGGGCAGGAUACUGGAAGACUAGAGUGAUAUCGGGGUUACUGGAAUUUGUAGUGUAGGGGUUAAAUCCGUGGAUACUACAAAGAACACCAGGCGCGAAGGCGGGUAACCAGGUAUAUACUGACACUCAGAGACGAAAGCUAGGGUAGCCAAUCAGAUUAGAGACCUGAGUAGUCCUAGCUGUAAACUUUGUCCGUUAAUUCUUUUUCAACUUGUUGAAAGGGGAUGUAAGCUAACGCGUUAAACGGACCGCCUGGGGAGUAUAGCCGCAAGGCCGAAACUCAAACGAAUUGGCGGGGAGGCGCACAACCAGUGGAGCAUGUUGUUCAAUUCGAUACGAAGCGAUAAACCUUACCUGGGUUUGAAAUGCACCUGCAAGCCCCCUGAAAGGGGGGAAUCCUUCGAGGGUGGUGCACAGCUGUUGCAUGGCUGUCGUCAGCUCGUGACGUGAGUUGUUCUCUUAAGUGAGGUAACGAGCGCAACCCCCAUCCGGUGUUACUGUGUCACCGGAGACUGCCCAGCAUUAUUUUGUUGGGAGGAAGGAGGGGACGACGUCAAGUCAUCAUGAUGCUUAUGUCCAGGGCUACAAACAUCCUACAAUGGGAUGUACAGAGGGUCGCAAUACCGCGAGGUGGAGCUAAUCCUUAAAACAUCCCUCAGUUGGGAUUGCAGGCUGAAAUUCGCCUGCAUGAACCCGGAAUUGGUAGUAAUCGCAAAUCAGCAGAUUGCGGUGAAUACGUUCUCGCCUCUUGCACACACUGCCCGUCAAAUCAGCAAAGUUGGGGGUACCUGAAGCUUCUCUUCGGAGGAACCAAGGUAAAUCCAGCGAUGAGGGUU